rnacentral:lncRNA from 1 species
CCCGUCCUCACUCCGGGGACCCCUGACGGCUCCUCUUGCCUAAAUCCGGAGCCCCAAGACGCUCCCCCGACCGCUUCUGGCGAACUAAGACCCAUGGCCCCCACCCCGACAGCUGUGGCCCCGCAUACAGCUCCCACCACCCCACUGAGGAUUGGGGUGUCCCCCUCCAAUCUUGUCCCAGGUUCUCCUUCCCCAGAAGCUGAAGAAGCCCCCUCCCAAGAAAGCUCUUCCAGGGAACUGAGACGCAAAAUCUUUCCCUCGGACGGAUGACGACACCCGCUGUCCUCAGCGCCCCCCAUCAAGCACUCCUCCCCGCGCCGCCUGCGUUCUUGGAGCCCCCGUGCUCUGG